rnacentral:misc_RNA from 1 species
AACACCUCAAAGCUUUUGGAUUUUUUUUUUUUGAAAGCUUUGGACUUGAGCAAUCCCAACACCAAUCUUUUUCAGAUCGGCGGCGGGUUGCUUGAAAUGCAGGUGCAGCUGGACUUUCUCCUGAGCUAAAAGCAUAUUCAUUUAGUCCCGUCAAACGGAUUAUUACUUUUGCUGCAGCUAACAUAAAGGGAGUUUGACCGCAUUGGCUGACUGAUGCAGGAUUUCACAAGGGUCGGCAACGAUUCUUGUUAA